rnacentral:tRNA from 1 species
GGGUCUGUAGCUCAAUUGGUAGAGUAUUCGGCUCCAAACCGAACGGUUGGAGGUUCGAGUCCUUCCAGGCCCG